rnacentral:rRNA from 1 species
GGGUGAGUAACGCGUAGGUAACCUGCCUUGUAGCGGGGGAUAACUAUUGGAAACGAUAGCUAAUACCGCAUAACAAUGGAUGACACAUGUCAUUUAUUUGAAAGGGGCAAUUGCUCCACUACAAGAUGGACCUGCGUUGUAUUAGCUAGUAGGUGAGGUAAUGGCUCACCUAGGCGACGAUACAUAGCCGACCUGAGAGGGUGAUCGGCCACACUGGGACUGAGACACGGCCCAGACUCCUACGGGAGGCAGCAGUAGGGAAUCUUCGGCAAUGGGGGCAACCCUGACCGAGCAACGCCGCGUGAGUGAAGAAGGUUUUCGGAUCGUAAAGCUCUGUUGUAAGUCAAGAACGGGUGUGAGAGUGGAAAGUUCACACUGUGACGGUAGCUUACCAGAAAGGGACGGCUAACUACGUGCCAGCAGCCGCGGUAAUACGUAGGUCCCGAGCGUUGUCCGGAUUUAUUGGGCGUAAAGCGAGCGCAGGCGGUUUGAUAAGUCUGAAGUUAAAGGCUGUGGCUCAACCAUAGUUCGCUUUGGAAACUGUCAAACUUGAGUGCAGAAGGGGAGAGUGGAAUUCCAUGUGUAGCGGUGAAAUGCGUAGAUAUAUGGAGGAACACCGGUGGCGAAAGCGGCUCUCUGGUCUGUAACUGACGCUGAGGCUCGAAAGCGUGGGGAGCGAACAGGAUUAGAUACCCUGGUAGUCCACGCCGUAAACGAUGAGUGCUAGGUGUUGGAUCCUUUCCGGGAUUCAGUGCCGCAGCUAACGCAUUAAGCACUCCGCCUGGGGAGUACGACCGCAAGGUUGAAACUCAAAGGAAUUGACGGGGGCCCGCACAAGCGGUGGAGCAUGUGGUUUAAUUCGAAGCAACGCGAAGAACCUUACCAGGUCUUGACAUCCCGAUGCUAUUUCUAGAGAUAGAAAGUUACUUCGGUACAUCGGUGACAGGUGGUGCAUGGUUGUCGUCAGCUCGUGUCGUGAGAUGUUGGGUUAAGUCCCGCAACGAGCGCAACCCCUAUUGUUAGUUGCCAUCAUUCAGUUGGGCACUCUAGCGAGACUGCCGGUAAUAAACCGGAGGAAGGUGGGGAUGACGUCAAAUCAUCAUGCCCCUUAUGACCUGGGCUACACACGUGCUACAAUGGUUGGUACAACGAGUUGCGAGUCGGUGACGGCGAGCUAAUCUCUUAAAGCCAAUCUCAGUUCGGAUUGUAGGCUGCAACUCGCCUACAUGAAGUCGGAAUCGCUAGUAAUCGCGGAUCAGCACGCCGCGGUGAAUACGUUCCCGGGCCUUGUACACACCGCCCGUCACACCACGAGAGUUUGUAACACCCGAAGUCGGUGAGGUAACCUUUUGGAGCCAGCCGCCUAAGGUGCAUC